rnacentral:rRNA from 1 species
AGUGAACGCUGGCGGUAGGCCUAACACAUGCAAGUCGAACGGCAGCACAGUAAGAGCUUGCUCUUACGGGUGGCGAGUGGCGGACGGGUGAGGAAUACAUCGGAAUCUACUUUUUCGUGGGGAUAACGUAGGGAAACUUACGCUAAUACCGCAUACGACCUACGGGUGAAAGCAGGGGAUCUUCGGACCUUGCGCGAUUGAAUGAGCCGAUGUCGGAUUAGCUAGUUGGCGGGGUAAAGGCCCACCAAGGCGACGAUCCGUAGCUGGUCUGAGAGGAUGAUCAGCCACACUGGAACUGAGACACGGUCCAGACUCCUACGGGAGGCAGCAGUGGGGAAUAUUGGACAAUGGGCGCAAGCCUGAUCCAGCCAUACCGCGUGGGUGAAGAAGGCCUUCGGGUUGUAAAGCCCUUUUGUUGGGAAAGAAAAGCAGCAGGUUAAUACCCCGCUGUUCUGACGGUACCCAAAGAAUAAGCACCGGCCAACUUCGUG